rnacentral:rRNA from 1 species
UACGAGUGGUGCAAGCGUUAUUCGGAAUUAUUGGGCGUAAAGGGUGCGCAGGCGGUAUGCUAAGUCAACUGUUAAAUAUCCCGGCCUAACUGGGAAAAGCGGUAGAUACUGGCGUGCUAGAGGAUGGAAGAGAGAAGUGGAAUUCUUGGAGUAGCGGUAAAAUGCGUAGAUCUCAAGAGGAACACCGAUGGCGAAGGCAGCUUCUUGGUCCAUUCCUGACGCUCAUGCACGAAAGCGUGGGGAGCAAACAGG